rnacentral:rRNA from 1 species
UACGCAGGGUGCAACCGUUGCUCGGAAUUAUUGGGCGUAAAGCGCACGUAGGCGGCUUGGCAAGUCGGAUGUGAAAUCCCUCGGCUCAACCAAGGAAGUGCAUCCGAAACUGCCGAGCUUGAGUACUUAAGAGGAUCGCGGAAUUCCCGGUGUAGAGGUGAAAUUCGUAGAUAUCGAGAGGAACACCUGCGGCGAAGGCGGGUUGCUGGGCUGACACUGACGCUGAAGUGCGAAAGCUAGGGGAGCGAACGGG